rnacentral:misc_RNA from 1 species
GGGGGUUCUUCCACCUCCCGAUGGAGGAGAAGCAAGCCUAUGCCAAUACACCGAAGACCUACGAGGGCUACGGAAGCCGUCUCGGGAUCGAGAAGGGCGCCAUUCUCGACUGGGGCGACUACUACUUCCUCCACCUUCUGCCUCAGUGUCUCAAGAGUCAUAGCAAGUGGCCGGCGCUACCGGCGCACCUGCGGCCGACGACGGACAGUUACGCGGAGGAGCUGUUGAAACUGUGCGGCCGGGUGAUGAAGAUGUUGUCAAAAGGGUUGGGCCUAGAUGAGGGUUGUUUGGAGA